CCUCAUCAACCGGAAGGGAUUCCUUCCUGUCGAUGAGGUUUAGCCUCCUCAUCGACUGGAAGGCUUCCAAUCGAUGAGGAAGCUAUACCUCAUCGACAGGAAGGAAUCCCUUCCAGUCGAUGAGG
rnacentral:miRNA from 1 species